rnacentral:rRNA from 1 species
ACGCUCGACACCUAGGAGGCAGCAGUGGGGAAUAUUGCACAAUGGAGGAAACUCUGAUGCAGCGAUGCCGCGUGAGGGAAGAAGGUUUUCGGAUUGUAAACCUCUGUCUUUGGGGACGAUAAUGACGGUACCCAAGGAGGAAGCUCCGGCUAACUACGUGCCCGCAGCCGCGGUAAUCUGAGCGGGCUGGCAAGGC